rnacentral:lncRNA from 1 species
AGACAAUCCUGCAACUGGAAGGCAACUCCCUGGGGAAGGUCUGUAAGUUCAAACCUUACUAUUAGGUUCUCAGCUGUGACAGUGGACAUCUAGGGUGUUCCUGGAUGAAGGUAACAAGCCAUUUCCCACUGACCCACAGAAGCUGUGGUUUCUGGCUUGCUGAUACAGGAGGAAAAAAGACCUAUUCACACGGCAGGGAUGGAGAAGAAUUCAGAACUAGUUUUUGUUUUUGUUUUUGUGUUCAAUAUUUCAGGGAGCCAGAUGUUCCUGGAGCGAACGGCGAGAGACUUUUCUUCACUUUGAGAGAACCUAAACACCUAUCUUUCCCAAGGCAACCUGCAUCGCCUGGACAUUUCUUUGCCGGGGUCAUCACUUCCCAUCCAGGCAGGAGUCUGGUGCAUCCGCGUCUCUGCAGGCAGAAGCAGAAUCCCAUGGUAGCCAGGUGGGUGAAGGGGAGCGAGGACGUCCCAUCUGCCUUGAAGAAGACGCCUUCUGACCUGCUGAGGGAGUGACCAGAGGGAAGCAUUCCCGGGGACUCAGCUUGGAAACCUGGUCCUUUUCCAGGUGGGUCUCUUCUGCCACAAUGUCAGAUGCCUGUACUUGCCUACUUGUUCUAUAGCUUUUUACAAGAGAUUCCUAUGUUGGUUCUGGUUGUUUCUAAAGGAAUAAGGCAAAAAUUUUGUGCCAUACCUAAAUGUCAUACCUAAUAUGACAUUUUGAUAAUUAGCAUAUUAACCAAGCUAUUAAUGAAGCAUAAUUAUUCACUAUGUGUUUGUUGUUGGUUGGUUGAUGACUUAGUCCUUUCCAAUAUAAUCAUGAACCAGGAGAGGUCAUCAAUUCUAAAGUAUUCAUUGGAUUGGGGGGGAUGCAUUUCUGUUGCAGAGAAUGCCACACAAAAGGGUAAGUUUUUUAAAAAUUGUAUUUAUAUUACCAGUUUUAAAAAUAUGUAUUAAUAUUCUCUAUUGCUAUAUUAAAACUAUCAUAUAGAUGGUGCAUUUUAGUUGUAUGAGUGCUGACCCAAUGCUCAGUCAACUUAUUUUUAAACUUUCUAGAAUUGGAAAUUUGUGCUAACUAUACAUAAAUAUUCAUAAUACUCAGUGGGGUAGAUGCAUGUGAGUGUGAUUUUAUAAUGAGAAAAACUGGCAUCAUUUUUGAGUGUAAGGCUUUGUUUUGGCACUUUCUAGGCAUUAUUUCAUUUAACCAUCACAAAAACCUGAGGAGUAGGUUAUAUUCCCAUUUUACAGAUCAAGGAGCUGAGAUCCAGAGAACUUAAAUAGCUCUGGGCACUGUGCCAGAUUAUCAGAGAUUGGAAGUGUGAAGGAUAUGCAAGGUCACACAGCAAAUAAAUUGGACAGUUGGCAUUUAGCCCAGGUUUGCUGAUCUCCAGAGUUCAUGCUCCUCACUCCACCCUACUGUCUUCCUUAAGUACUGGUAGACUAGUCUUGCCUGCCAAAUUCACCUUUCUUAUAUAGAUCUAUAUACAUUCCUACAUACUUCAUUUGAUUAUCCUAUUUCUGUUUUCUGGUUGUUCUACUACAUGUGACAGUACCAGAACAUCUUUCUUUGCCAUUUCCU